UGGUGAGGUUAAAUAAAUAAUGGAAAUGUUUAUCUUAAUAAUGAAAUAAUUAGCAAAUCACAUAUUUGUUAUGCUGAUUUUUAUUUGUGAUGUAGACACGUCACAUUCCCAGACUCAUUUUUGUGCACCGGGAAAUACAUCAUAAGAAGUUCUGGGUUUAGUACUUGAAAAGUAAAUGUUGUAUGAAAUAUACAUUUUGGCAUAUCACUCUGAAUAACCACAUUUGUGUGUGUGUUUGUAAUAUAUAGAUCAUAAACAUUCUAGGCUUGUUAAUGGAUCUCACCUGUGUUCUGGGAGAUUAGAGAUACUUCAGGAGAACACAUGGCACACAUUGUGUGAUGCUGUCUUUGACCAGCAGGAUGCAGAGGUUGUGUGUAGAGAGCUGGACUGUGGGGCUCCUGUACAGGUGCUGGGAGCAACUGCUUUUGGCAAAGGAGACACUCAAAUGUGGACACAAGAGAUUCAGUGCAGAGGAAAUGAAUCUUAUAUAUCUUUCUGUCCAACAUUAUCAUCUCUCAAACACAACUGUACCCAUGAGAAUGACAUUGGACUGUUAUGUUCUGGUUAUACUAAUCUCAGGCUGGUUAAUGGCCCUGACAUCUGUUCUGGUCGAGUUGAACGUCAAUACUUCAGUAAAUGGGCCACAGUGUGUGAUGCAUGCUGGGAUAUGAGAUCUGCCAGUGUCCUCUGUAGACAGCUGAAUUGUGGGAUUGCUUUGUCUGUUGUGGGAUCAGACUGGUUUGGAAAGGGGAAGUGGUGAAAUAUGGCUGAUGUGUUUGAUUGUGACGGGAAUGAACAAAACUCUCAGAAUGUUCCAUCUCUUCAUGGAGUCGAGCUGAAUGUUCUCACAGACGAGAUGUUGGAGUCAUCUGCUCUGAUUCCUCUCUGGCUCCUCAUGAUGGUCUGGUGCGGUUGUCUGGAGAGAGACAGUGUGAGGGGGAGCUGGAAGUUUUCAUCCAUCAGGUCUGGAGGAGAGUUCUGCUGGACUCCUGGAGUCUCACUGAAUCCUCUGUGGUCUGCAGACAGCU